GACGAACGCUGGCGGCGUGCCUAAUACAUGCAAGUCGAACGAACUCUGGUAUUGAUUGGUGCUUGCAUCAUGAUUUACAUUUGAGUGAGUGGCGAACUGGUGAGUAACACGUGGGAAACCUGCCCAGAAGCGGGGGAUAACACCUGGAAACAGAUGCUAAUACCGCAUAACAACUUGGACCGCAUGGUCCGAGUUUGAAAGAUGGCUUCGGCUAUCACUUUUGGAUGGUCCCGCGGCGUAUUAGCUAGAUGGUGAGGUAACGGCUCACCAUGGCAAUGAUACGUAGCCGACCUGAGAGGGUAAUCGGCCACAUUGGGACUGAGACACGGCCCAAACUCCUACGGGAGGCAGCAGUAGGGAAUCUUCCACAAUGGACGAAAGUCUGAUGGAGCAACGCCGCGUGAGUGAAGAAGGGUUUCGGCUCGUAAAACUCUGUUGUUAAAGAAGAACAUAUCUGAGAGUAACUGUUCAGGUAUUGACGGUAUUUAACCAGAAAGCCACGGCUAACUACGUGCCAGCAGCCGCGGUAAUACGUAGGUGGCAAGCGUUGUCCGGAUUUAUUGGGCGUAAAGCGAGCGCAGGCGGUUUUUUAAGUCUGAUGUGAAAGCCUUCGGCUCAACCGAAGAAGUGCAUCGGAAACUGGGAAACUUGAGUGCAGAAGAGGACAGUGGAACUCCUGGUGUAGCGGUGAAAUGCGUAGAUAUAUGGAAGAACACAGUGGCGAAGGCGGCUGUCUGGUCUGUAACUGACGCUGAGGCUCGAAAGUAUGGGUAGCAAACAGGAUUAGAUACCCUGGUAGUCCAUACCGUAAACGAUGAAUGCUAAGUGUUGGAGGGUUUCCGCCCUUCAGUGCUGCAGCUAACGCAUUAAGCAUUCCGCCUGGGGAGUACGGCCGCAAGGCUGAAACUCAAAGGAAUUGACGGGGGCCCGCACAAGCGGUGGAGCAUGUGGUUUAAUUCGAAGCUACGCGAAGAACCUUACCAGGUCUUGACAUACUAUGCAAAUCUAAGAGAUUAGACGUUCCCUUCGGGGACAUGGAUACAGGUGGUGCAUGGUUGUCGUCAGCUCGUGUCGUGAGAUGUUGGGUUAAGUCCCGCAACGAGCGCAACCCUUAUUAUCAGUUGCCAGCAUUAAGUUGGGCACUCUGGUGAGACUGCCGGUGACAAACCGGAGGAAGGUGGGGAUGACGUCAAAUCAUCAUGCCCCUUAUGACCUGGGCUACACACGUGCUACAAUGGAUGGUACAACGAGUUGCGAACUCGCGAGAGUAAGCUAAUCUCUUAAAGCCAUUCUCAGUUCGGAUUGUAGGCUGCAACUCGCCUACAUGAAGUCGGAAUCGCUAGUAAUCGCGGAUCAGCAUGCCGCGGUGAAUACGUUCCCGGGCCUUGUACACACCGCCCGUCACACCAUGAGAGUUUGUAACACCCAAAGUCGGUGGGGUAACCUUUUAGGAACCAGCCGCCUAAGGUGGGACAGAUGAUUAGGGUG
rnacentral:rRNA from 1 species